rnacentral:rRNA from 1 species
AACGCGGGCGGCGUGCCUAACACAUGCAAGUCGAACGAGAAAGUGGAGCAAUCCAUGAGUACAGUGGCGCACGGGUGAGUAACACGUGACUAACCUACCCUUGAGUGGGGGAUAACUGAGGGAAACCUUAGCUAAUACCGCAUAAUACCUACGGGUCAAAGGAGCAAUUCGCUUUAGGAGGGGGUCGCGGCCGAUUAGUUAGUUGGCGGGGUAAUGGCCCACCAAGACGAUGAUCGGUAUCCGGCCUGAGAGGGCGCACGGACACACUGGAACUGAAACACGGUCCAGACUCCUACGGGAGGCAGCAGUGGGGAAUUUUGCGCAAUGGGGGAAACCCUGACGCAGCAACGCCGCGUGGAGGAUGAAGUCCUUCGGGACGUAAACUCCUUUCGAUCGGGACGAUUAUGACGGUACCGGAAGAAGAAGCCCCGGCUAACUUCGUGCCAGCAGCCGCGGUAAUACGAGGGGGGCGAGCGUUGUUCGGAAUUAUUGGGCGUAAAGGGUGCGUAGGCGGUUUGGUAAGUCUUGUGUGAAAUCUCCAGGCUCAACUUGGAGUCUGCACGAGAAACUGCCGGGCUUGAGUGUGGGAGAGGUGAGUGGAAUUCCUGGUGUAGCGGUGAAAUGCGUAGAUAUCAGGAGGAACACCUGUGGCGAAAGCGGCUCACUGGACCACAACUGACGCUGAUGCACGAAAGCUAGGGGAGCAAACAGGAUUAGAUACCCUGGUAGUCCUAGCCCUAAACGAUGACUGCUUGGUGUGACGGGUACCCAAUCCCGCCGUGCCGUAGCUAACGCGUUAAGCAGUCCGCCUGGGGAGUACGGUCGCAAGGCUGAAACUC